UCAAGAGCAGAAUUGUUACUGAGAAAGAACAACACCCUGGUUGCUGUAGCUGACCUGCUAGUCAUCCCAAUUGUACCCUGGAUCUUAAUUUAAUUGGAAGAACAAUGAAGACAUUUGUUCCUACUUUAUUCAUGUUCUUGUGGCUGCAGCUGGAUGGGGUGAGCCAAGGUGAGCAGGUGGAGCAGCAUCCGUCCACCCUGAGAGUCCAGGAGGGAGCCAACGCUGUCAUCAACUGCACUUACACAGACAGUGUCUUGUCCUACUUCCCUUGGUAUAAGCAAGGACCUGGAGAGCAUCCUCAGCUCGUUAUUGACAUUCGUUCAACUGUGGAAAGAAAGCAGGAGCAAAGACUGAUAGUUUUACUGGAUAAGAAAGCCAAACACUUCUCCCUGCACAUCACAGACACCCGGCCUGGAGACUCUGCCAUGUACUUCUGUGCUGCAAGUGCACACUGCUCCACAGGCACCUGCAGCCUGUCCUCAAACCUGCCAUGGGGCCUGGAGCCCCAUCCACAUCCUGUGUCUCAGGCACAGCAUUUGUAA